ensembl:lncRNA
AUAUUUUCCAAUGGCCUACAAAUAUGGAAAUGGCGAUGGCGGCCCACACUCAAAUACAGAAUACGGGCAGGUGACUUCAUGAAUGUUACAAACACACUCCUGUCUGAGAGUAACUACUACUACAAAGUGUCACACCUGUUCAGUUACACGAACAUGGGCUUUGUUGGGAUGGACACCUGUGUCAGCGUUCCAGACACCUACUGCCUCGGAGCCAUUGAGGAAUUCUGGGAGGACAAGAGAUGUACAGCGUCUGCAGAAUAAAGAUAGUGUUGCUGUUCUAGCUCAACAAUACCAGAGAAUCAUCCAGAAGGUGGGCUGUCUACGCCGCGAAUGUCGCAAAGGACUGCCGUUACAUCGCUGAUCUGAGACUCCAAUCAGAUACGGGGAUGCCGAGGUGUAGGAUUGUAAGACCUGAUCACCUCAGGACACGUGGCCUCUUUCCGAAUGUUCCCCCCCUCACCCUCAGUUGAGUCCCGCACCAGUAGAGGCCUAGGUAUGAUCAGCUGACUGAUCCAAGUGUUCAUCAGACUGUAACUGCGGAGGUUUGAUACGCCACUGUUCUGUCUGAUUGACUGCUGGUGUGUUUUACCUUACAGGGCCAGCUCUACACCUCAAGAGACGAGCAACGAACGUACACCGGAAUGAUCCAAACCCGAAUGGUCCGAACUCACCGGUCAACUGAGCGAGCUGUAUUUUUGUUAGUUUUUCAUUCAUUUGUACCCCCUACUCUUAUUUUCUGCUCAUUUGCAGCCACUCAACACAGUGUUUAGAAGUAAAUAAUUUCAAUGCAACACAAAACAAUAAUUACUUUCCCCUCAAAUAUAAAUAAAUGUCUUGCACUGUAUAUGGAAACAUUGUGUCUGUCUGUAAUUAGUCUUACUUAAACACAGUGCCUUUUACAAAAAGAAGGCAGUAUGGAACAAUAUAAUAUAUAUUAUAAUUUAAAAAUCACUUAUUUAUACCAGAUGGAAUAUUAAUCUUGAAAAGAGAGCAGGAGUGAGGCUGCAGCAACCAUAGUAGUUAUGAAUUAUAACACCGCCGCUAUGAGUGGGCCUUUUUUUAUCUGCCGAUGCUGCAGUUCACCUUCCAUGGAGUCCGCCAUGUUGAGUCUUUCUACAAUAGCCCAGAAGGGUCAAACCAAACACUGGCUCUAGAUAGAUCUACAACUACACCACUAGAUGCUGCUUUUUUGGACAGAUUCACUCUCGCUGACUUACCCUGUUCCCAGUCUUUGCUAAGCUCGCCAGUCAACUGCUGAUGGUAACUGUAAAGGUUCAAGGGUGCUAUCAAUCUGCUCACCAAAGCAUCAUCAGCUACUCCUUCUAAGAUUUAAAUUUGAAUGUCUUUAAGUAAGCCUUUUGUAAAUAAUGUAAAUUAUUAAGUAAAUUAAAACAUUUUUUAUUUUAUUUUUAUCACCACCUCCUCCGUGUCCCACUAGAGGGCGCUCAGAGGUCCACCACAGCGCGCUGGUUGAGAUGGAUAAAGAAUUCUGCAGAGCUCGAAAGCAUAAACAGUAUCACAAUACAAUGAUCAUCCCAGUAUGUCUCCAUACGUCCACCCACCCUCUCUAACAUACACAUAUUGCCACCAGUGUAAGCGCAGCAGUCCUACGACAAGAUUAAAUUUAGAAGGAAUAGACCUGGGAAUACAUUUUGGACUACGUUAAGUGCUGAGAAGACAUAUGCGUGCAUAAUGCAUCAAAUUCUGCACAUGCCUCAUUGAUAGUGGCUUGUAGAGCCUUGCACCUGCAGUCAGAAGGGAUAACAUUACAAGCUGUGUGUGCUCAGCAGUGCAACUCGCAGCUCUCUCCAGCAGACCAAAGAGGAGAGCAAAAGUAGGUCACCCUCCCAGAGACCCACACGUCUCUCCCAGUGAUUCCACACUGCACUUGAGCUCGCGUCUGCCGUGAGAGGGCCUCUGAUGGGAGCACAAAUGGGAGUCGACAGCUCCCUUUCCACUCAUUUUUUUUCCUGCAUGAAGGCAGAAAAAAAAGCCUCAUCCUGCUGCUGUUAGGUGCCACACAGGAAACAAAAGCAGCAGGAGAUGGGCCAUGAACGCGCCAUUACUGAUAUGACGGCUCGCUGUAAAUCGUUUGACUCACAAUCUGCCCCAAAAAACCUCCACAAACCUUAAAGGAAUUGUUCGAUAUUAUGGAAAAAAGUCUCAUAUUUGUCCAUUUGAAUAAGAAGCCAGCAGCAGGCUAGCUUGGCUUAAGCAUAAAGACGGGAAACGAGAAGGCUGCUGGCUGAAAGCUACAAAAUCACUGUUGUUUUAAUGCUGUUUUCUGCUCAAAAUGCCCCAAAACACAGUACGGUUGAUGCUGAUGUGAAUGUCAUUAGCUUUUGCAGGUGAAUGAAGUUGGAUGGAAACAUUUGGCCAGAUAACUUCUGAUGUCUGUAUGAUCCUGUUGCUGCUGCUGUAAUAAAAUCCAGAAUCUGGAAUCCGGUUUAGGUUUUGCUACCAAGUGUGCUCUUAAGUUUCCCCCAGUAGUGUGCCUGUUCAGAUCAGCCGACUGCUGACUCAACAGCUCCAUAAAUAAGCAGUAGAUGCUUUGAUCUCAGAUUAGUAAAAGGAACUGGGAGGCAAGGAAGGAGAAGAGGGAUGGUUGGGCGGGGGGGAGUCAAAAGACUUGAGAAAUUGCUUCUUCUUUUUUUUUGUCCCCCAAAGCAGUUUAGGACAUUUAUACGAGAAAACAGAACCGCUGUGUUGGUGGAGCUCCUGUGGUUUUCUAAUCUUCCUUUAGUGGAAUUGAUCAAACAGUGCUUUGAGCGGUUAUAGUGUUGUACCAUGUUCACCAUCUCAGCUUAGCAUGUAAGCCCGUUAACGUUUGUUAAUUAGCACUAAACACAACGUACAGCUGAUGAGGCUGAUGUCCGUUAGUGCUGCAGGGUCAUGAAUGAAGCUACUGGACGGACGUUUUUGACCUGAUGAUGGCAUUAAAAAAAGUUACUGUAAUUCAUUCUGAGGGGAACAUGAAUGUCUUUACCGAAUUUCAUGACAAUCCAUCAAAUAGUUGUUGACUCAGAACUACAAAUGUUAACCUCAUGAUGGUGCUAGAGGGAAAUAAGGGGAUCACCAAAAGUCAGUACAUUGUCUGGGAACCAUGAACGUCUGUACAUGUCAAUCCAUCCCAUAUAUUUAGAGAUAUUUCAGCCUGGACCAAAGUGGUCGAACAAACUGUCAAUUUAACCCAAGUUAAGUUAGUUAAACAAAAUCUGUGUCGUCCCUCAGAGAUUCAGUGACUGAUGGUGUGUUAGUCAGGACACCUCUGCUGAGAGCGGAUGAGAUCAUCUCCAUUCAGGGCCCGAGCAGCAGCCUUUUUUAAAGCCGGGAUCGGAAAGGAACAAUGGCGCUCUUUGAAAACCUGCAGUGAAAUCCCAAGCAGGCGCUCUUUUCUCCCAGCUUUCCCAUUUCCUGUGAAUUAAUAAUAGCCUUGCUGGGGGGAAAGCAGACAGAUACUGCAGCCAGGGGAUGUUAGGUGUAAAGCUUUCUUUAAAGUGUUUUUAGAAUCAGGCAAUGGGUUUCACUGUAUCAGAGGUGUGACAAGGAGGAGAGGAUCUGACUGUGGCUGAGCAUCUCUGAACCCAGAGCAGUAACUGCUGCCAAGUGUGGGCGUUUGCUUACUCAGAACUGGAGUUACAGCAACCAGAGAGGAUAAAAAAUACUGAUCACACAUCUCUGAUCAACGUGUAGCCGAACAAUCUCAAACACGCUGAACCAUUAUUGACUCUCUUAUUGGAAAUGCAAAGAAUAACUAAAGUGUGAUUAUGAGCAC